UUAUGUUAAAAUUACUAAAAGUAUUAUUUUUAUACAGUAAAAAUAAGCAAGUUUCUUUGCAUUAAAUUAAAAGUAUAACAUUUUAAGUCUAAAAAAUUUAACAGAUUAAAACCAAUGUAACCAGAUCACUUUAAACCUACUAGCGGAUGAAGAUUGUCCCAAAUCGCUUUCCGUAGUAAUCGCACAUGCAGAGAAGACGAGACGACCCGUGGACGGCAUUUUCCAACUGUUCGCGUACAACUUUGAAUCUGUUAUCAUCCAUAAACUAUUUGGCUCUGAAUGUGGAGGUGUAAACAGUGUUCUGAAAGUAAAUCUACAAGAGAGCACUAUCGAGCUUAUGAGUUACAUCCAACAAGAGAGCUUGCAGCUGUUGGUUUGAAGGAGCUUGCUGACCAGUAUCCUUUGGCCGACUACAAAGUUGGAUCCCUACGAAUGGUGACUUUAAAGAGAUUUGUACACAUGACAGAAUAAAUACAAGAUGUCUGCAACUCUGAGAGUCAUAUUGGGAGUAGACGACGCACCAAAAUUAAUCCUGCCCAAUGGAAUACCCGAUUCCAUAGAAGACCUUAAAGGAGAGAUUCAAAGACAAUUCGGCCUAUCUGGAAAUUUCAGGCUGCAGUAUAGAGACGUUGAUUUCGACAAUGAGUUUGUGAACUUAACGGCAACUUCAGAAAUCAAAGACAAGAGCACAGUUAAAGUUAUUAACUUGUCAGAUGAGACAGUCACACUCACAUUCACUACUAUUCCGCAAGGGGAAGAUGAUGUUUUGCUGUCCUCAUCAUCAGACACAGACAUACUUUCCUCCGCUGAAUCUACAUCUUCGGGUGCUUCCCUUAGAUCACAGCCAUGGCCCACAAACUUUGAAAUACCUCAGUUCAGUUAUGAGGUACAGAUUCAGUUAGAAAAGGCAAAUCAAGCCUUCUGCAGCAGUGGAACUCUUCUAAAAACAAGUAACAAACUUAGGUCUGAUAUACUAGAUGGUUUGGCAUCAGAAAUCAUCAAAUACAAAGUUUAUCCUUCUAGUACAGAGCUUGAUGAUGUGGCUCAGGCUCUGAUAACA